GCGAUGCACAUGAUGCACAGCGUGCGCUUUAAUGUACAAAUAGACGUCAUCCACGCACCCGCCGGCUUCUCAUCUCCCUCUCUUGUUUUUCCCCUCGCACGCUCGCCCACACGCGGCUGCUUCGAACCCACGCGCGCGGGAGCGCGCUCAUUUACACAAACUGGAGGAAGGAACUAAAAAUAGUAGGCCUAUGAUGUGAUGCUGCGUGCGGUUUCUCCCCGUGGGUUUAUAUGUGUGUGUGUGUGAUUGUCAGAGUGACGAGAGAGGGAGAGCAAGAGGACGGAAAGCGAAAGGGAGGCUCUGCUCGCGUCUGCCGCACAGUCAGUGAUAAACACAAAGUGACAGGCGUGGCAAAGAUGGACUUACCCCUGGAAGGGUCUUCUGCUCGUGCAAUGCAUUCUGGGCUUUCAGGGCUGACUCCCUGGCACAGUAGACGACCCACAAUCCUCGGGUUUGCUGGCACCUGGGCUGACAUGAAGAUGGAGACGCGGGAGGUGAGGCAGAAGAAGAAGCCGUGGGGAACGUGGAAGCCUCUCCCUCGCCAU